CACGUAGGUGGCAUGGUAAGUCACAGGUGAAAGCCCUCGACUCAACCGAGGAACUGCCUGUGAAACUGUCUUGCUUGAGUCCGGGAGGGGGGAGCGGAAUUCCCAGUGUAGCGGUGAAAUGCGUAGAUACUGGGAGGAACACCGGUGGCGAAGGCGGCUCCCUGGACCGGUACUGACACUGAGGUGCGAAAGCGUGGGUAGCAAACAGGAUUAGAUACCCUGGUAGUCC
rnacentral:rRNA from 1 species